UGAGGAAUAUUGGUCAAUGGACGCAAGUCUGAACCAGCCAAGUAGCGUGCAGGAUGACGGCCCUAUGGGUUGUAAACUGCUUUUAUAUGGGGAUAAAGUGGGGAACGUGUUCCCUUUUGCAGGUACCAUAUGAAUAAGGACCGGCUAAUUCCGUGCCAGCAGCCGCGGUAAUACGGAAGGUUCGGGCGUUAUCCGGAAUCACUGGGCGUAAAGGGUUCGCAGGCGGAAAUGCAAGUCAGGUGUAAAAGGCAGUAGCUUAACUACUGUAAGCAUUUGAAACUGCAUAUCUUGAGAAGAGUAGAGGUAAGUGGAAUUUUUAGUGUAGCGGUGAAAUGCGUAGAUAUUAAAAAGAAUACCGGUGGCGAAGGCGACUUACUGGGCUCAUUCUGACGCUGAGGAACGAAAGCGUGGGUAGCAAACAGG
rnacentral:rRNA from 1 species